GCACACAUUUAUAGUUUGUAAGGGGGGUGUUGUACACCCUAGCACCGUCCCUGCGCCCACCCCCUGUAUCAUUCAGGCUGCGCUGCAGAGGAGGACCAGCAAGCGAGGUGGACGGCAGACUAGCUGCACAUAACAGGAAUCGAAUGAAUUACCAACAAAGAGGACGAAUAGGAGGAGUGAAGCAGAAGAGGAUGGGGGCGUUGACACCAUGGUGGCUGCUGCAGGACUUAGGAGUCAGAAGCAGCAGGAUGACCUAGGCGCCCCAGCCCCACUGACCCUGAGGCAAAGGAAGGAUGGCGGUCCGGUCAAAAGUCCUGGGAAAGCUCAGACACACCCCUGAUGAAGUCUCUUUGUAAGAAGAAUUGCAUUGGGUACUCUUAUGUUUUGAUGUCAUCUCCUAUCUACAUUACUGGAAGGAGGAUAUCACGAAAGGAACAAUCUGUACAUCCAUGAGGAACUUAACCUCCAAUAUUGUUGGAGGCUGUUGUCUUCGAAUGUUUCUUUGUGAUUAAGGACACAGUUGUCAUUUUAAUAAUUUUUAUUAAAAAUCCUGUGUAUUGAAA